GACGAACGCUGGCGGCGUGCUUGACACAUGCAAGUCGAACGGAAAGGCCUGCUUUCCCUUGUGGAUUGCGGGUACUCGAGUGGCGAACGGGUGAGUAACACGUGAGUGAUCUGCCCCCAACUUGGGUAUAAGCCUGGGAAACUGGGUCUAAUUCCCGAUAGGACUGCAGGGUGGUGCCUGUGGUGGAAAACGAUUUUCUAGUGGUUGGGGAUGAGCUCGCGGCCUAUCAGCUUGUUGGUGGGGUAAUGGCCUACCAAGGCGGCGACGGGUAGCCGGCCUGAGAGGGUGGACGGCCACAUUGGGACUGAGAUACGGCCCAGACUCCUACGGGAGGCAGCAGUGGGGAAUAGUGCACAACGGGCGGAAGCCUGAUGCAGCGACGCCGCGUGGGGGAUGACGGCCUUCGGGUUGUAAACUCCUUUCGACCGCGAGGAAGCCACCUGGUUGGAAGGGUGGUGACGGUAGUGGUAGAAGAAGCACCGGCUAACUACGUG
rnacentral:rRNA from 1 species